rnacentral:rRNA from 1 species
UGACCUCAAAUCAGGUAGGACUACCCGCUGAACUUAAGCAUAUCAAUAAGCGGAGGAAAAGAAACUAACAAGGAUUCCCCUAGUAACUGCGAGUGAAGCGGGAAAAGCUCAAAUUUAAAAUCUGGCGGCCUUUUGGCUGUCCGAGUUGUAAUCUAGAGAAGUGUUAUCCGCGCUGGACCGUGUACAAGUCUCCUGGAAUGGAGCAUCAUAGAGGGUGAGAAUCCCGUCUUUGACAUGGACUGCCAGGGCUUUGUGAUGCGCUCUCAAAGAGUCGAGUUGUUUGGGAAUGCAGCUUAAAAUGGGUGGUAAAUUCCAUCUAAAGCUAAAUAUUGGCGAGAGACCGAUAGCGAACAAGUACCGUGAGGGAAAGAUGAAAAGAACUUUGGAAAGAGAGUUAAACAGUACGUGAAAUUGCUGAAAGGGAAACGCUUGAAGUCCGUCAUGUCAUCCAGGGAUCAACCUUGCUUUUGCUUGGUGCACUUCCUGGUUUGACGGGCCAGCAUCAAUUUUGACCGUUGGAAAAAGGCUAGGGGAAUGUGGCAUCUCUGGAUGUGUUAUAGCCCUUGGUCACAUACAAUGGUUGGGAUUGAGGAACUCAGCACGCCGCAAGGCCGGGUGUUCGCACCACGUACGUGCUUAGGAUGC